GCUGGCUUAGCUCAGUUGGUAGAGCAGCUGAUUUGUAAUCAGCAGGUCGGGAGUUCGAAUCCUCCAGCCAGCACCA
rnacentral:tRNA from 1 species